rnacentral:rRNA from 1 species
UACGUAGGUGGCGAGCGUUGUCCGGAUUUACUGGGCGUAAAGCGCGCGCAGGCGGUUCUGUAAGUCCUGGGUGAAAUCGCCCGGCUCAACUGGGCGGGGGCCUGGGGGACUGCGGGACUGGAGGGGCCUAGAGGCCGGUGGAACUCCCGGUGUAGUGGUGAAAUGCGUAGAGAUCGGGAAGAACACCAGAGGCGAAGGCAGUGUCCUGGGGAGUACCUGACGCUCAGGUGCGAAAGCCAGGGGAGCGAACGGG